rnacentral:rRNA from 1 species
GAUCAGCCAUGCCGCGUGAGUGAUGAAGGCCUUAGGGUUGUAAAGCUCUUUUGUCCGGGACGAUAAUGACGGUACCGGAGGAAUAAGCCCCGGCUAACUUCGUGCCAGCAGCCGCGGUAAUACGAAGGGGGCUAGCGUUGCUCGGAAUCACUGGGCGUAAAGGGCGCGUAGGCGGCGUUUUAAGUCGGGGGUGAAAGCCUGUGGCUCAACCACAGAAUGGCCUUCGAUACUGGGACGCUUGAGUAUGGAAGAGGUUGGUGGAACUGCGAGUGUAGAGGUGAAAUUCAUAUAUAUUCGCAAGAACACCGGUGGCGAAGGCGGCCAACUGGACCAUUACUGACGCUGAGGCGCGAAAGCGUGGGGAGCAAACAGGAUUAAAUACCCUGGUAGUCCACGCCGUAAACGAUGAAUGCCAGCU